rnacentral:tRNA from 1 species
CGAAAUCGGUAGACGCUACGGACUUAAAAUCCGUCGACUUUUGAAAUCGUGAGGGUUCAAGUCCCUCUAUCCCCAG